UCGAGGAUCUUCGGCAAUGGGCGCAAGCCUGACCGAGCGACGCCGCGUGCGGGAUGAAGGCCUUCGGGUUGUAAACCGCUGUCAGAGGGGAUGAAAUGCGUAAGGGUUCUCCCUUACGUUUGACAUAUCCUCAGAGGAAGUACGGGCUAAGUUCGUGCCAGCAGCCGCGGUAAGACGAACCGUACGAACGUUAUUCGGAUUUACUGGGCUUAAAGGGUGCGUAGGCGGCGCGGAAAGUUGGGUGUGAAAUCCCUCGGCUUAACCGAGGAACUGCGCCCAAAACUACCGUGCUCGAGGGAGACAGAGGUGAGCGGAACUUAGGGUGGAGCGGUGAAAUGCGUUGAUAUCCUAAGGAACACCAGUGGCGAAAGCGGCUCACUGGGUCUCUUCUGACGCUGAUGCACGAAAGCUAGGGUAGCGAACGGGAUUAGAUACCCCUGUAGUCC
rnacentral:rRNA from 1 species